CUACAUAGAGUAGUAGUGAAUUGAAUGGUGUUAAAAAAUCGAAGGACGAGAAGGCGACGCCGCCAAUGGCGCCGGCGGCGGCUCCACCGCUACCUGGGACAGACAUGACGAGCAUAUGCUUUAGAGCCCAGGUGUGGCUGAAUACAUAUCCGCUGGACCGAAACUUAGUAUUCGACUAAUUCUGCUCUCUCCCCAUUCUACGAUUGGACUUGCAAUAAUGAACAGCUCCGUUCCCGUGCCAUUCAGCCGCUCGAUUUUUCUCAUAUCUCGAAAAUGACGGGCACUGAAUAGUGGAAUACACGCAGAGUGAUGUAAUGGAGCCUCCGGGGGCGGGUCAAGGAUAUGCGGGCCUAAGUGGAUUCUGAAAAUGAGAGUUCAGCAUCUGAAACUAAGCCCGCUAAAGAGACUAUUGACUUCAAGGGACUUAGGCGAGUUGAUCACAUCCUAGCUUCUCUACAACAGAAGCUGCCACCUGCACCUUGGACUAGGUUGUCCGAAAUAAUCUAGUGUGAUGGUCUAACCAAGAUGUUCGUUCACCAGGGAUUCUGCUGCAGAUUAUUUGGUAUUGAAUCCAAUGGUAUGGUAAGAUUGCUCGGCAAGAACUUGCCACGAUGCAAGGUAAGAUCUGCACUAGAUAAUUAUGUUUUACAUUUUGAUUUCCUAGACUAGGAAACACGGACGGAGCUAGGGAGGCAGAAGGGGGUAAAUAUUUUCACUUUUUAAUUUUUUGAAUCUACACUAUUAGGAUAUAUAAAUUGGAGCAAGUAGAAGAAACCGUCAUCGGGGAUUGUUCAUUACUGGAAUUGCCUCCUAUAAUCUGACUCUUCCGCUUAUAUCUCAAGUUUGCAAUUCAACUCACUAUACUGCAUCGUCGAUGGGCAAGCCCAACUAUUUAUUAUAGUCUUUAAAUGAUUUGUUAUCAAAUCCAUAUAUCGUGUUAUUAUACUAGUCAUCUCAUCAUUAAUCAAUUAAUUUGUCACACAAACCCUUACUUUUUGUAUGGAUAUGUUCCUUUUGCAAAAUUUGAAAGGUGGAUGAGCGUGGAUGUUGGGUUAUAGUUCGUUAUUUCACCAUGUUUUAAUUAUUUUGACUCAAGCAAACUUAGGGCAAGUUGAAUAAUGAUCCAUUUAUUGUAUUGAUUCAUUUUGACUCACUCAAAUUUAAUUCAACUUGCUACACGCGCAUUUGCCACCUCUUUAGUGAGGUUGAGUCAUGUGGAAUUCUUCUUCUUAACAAAGCGGUCGUCCAGUGCUCCUAGUUCACUUUUUUCUAUUAUAUAGAAGAGCGAAGUGGAGGUCGACCAAGGGUAGAAUAGUAAUUUAGACGUCUCUAUUAAAAUGGUGCUUUUUGUCCUUCUUUUGUCUUUCUCAUUCUAAAAUUCAGACGCUCAUUUCAUACUACUCUUUCACUUCUCUUCAUCUUCUCAGCUAGCUCUCCCUAUUUCAGGUAUGCUUUUCUUUAAUUUUUUCUCAAAUCUUCUUCCAACUCUUUUCAGAUUUUCCAAUGUCAUAGGUUCAUUCAUAGCUAAAAUUCAUGCCUGCUGUUGCUAUGGUUCUGCCUAAGGGUGGCAAGUGGGCCGGUCCAGGUCCAGGUCCAGGUCCGGGACCGCGGGCCAAAUGGGUCAAACGGGUUAGGACCGUUUGGCUCGGUUUUAGUGGGCCUAGGCCGGUCUCGUGGGCCGGUCCUAUGAUUUGGGGCCGUCAGGCCAGGGACCGUUUAGCCCGCCAGGGCCCGGGACCGGCCCGGUCCUUUAACGGGCCA